rnacentral:lncRNA from 10 species
AUGAAACUAGCGCACAGCACGGCUGCCCCCAUGUCGAAAUACAGACUAUGGAGGAUUCACCACCAGUCUGGGAAGCAACAGCCUGGGCUCCAGAGUCGGCCACUCGUCCGUGCACAGACGAGGAGAGGUCUCAUGAAGCUUCGGCGCAGUCUGGGACCCUAGCUCUUUUGUAACGAGUUGUUUGGCAUGAGCUCCAGUCACAAGGGCCC